AAGAAGAUAUCGGCGCGGCGCAAUGUAAACAAACAAACAGCUGGCGGGGCAUGGCGUCUGCUGUGGCGGUGGAGGCUGAGUAGUGAAGGAAAGAGGCAGUGGAAAAGGUAACAGAGGAGAGGAGUCGGUGACCUGAGGAACGUAUCAAAGCGAGACAGAUAACGAGAGGAGGGAUAGCUGUGGCCCCAGACGGAAGAAGACCUAAAAGAACAUCUAACGGAUACCCGAGUUUAAGCCCACAGAGAGAGAGAAGGCAGAAGAGAUCCCUUGCAAUGGAUGACAGUCUAGCACACGUGGACCCUGAGGAACGCGUCCUUCGAGUCCUGGACUACGAACUCAAGUCUCUGAAGAAGGACCGGGCAAGUAUUGCUCUACAGAGUGACUCAAAAUUUAGGCAAUGGCUAAAAUGUGUUCUUUUUAUCAUUUUCAGGAAUACCUCCAUGUUCCCUUUUAACAGUGCAAGUUCAAUUUUACCACAUUCACUUAUGAUGCUUUACUGAUAUGUCCAGACUUUUGGGUCACCCUGUAUUUGUGCCUCUGCUAACUACAAGACACAAGAAGGAACACUACAUCAAGACAACACAGUAUUGCCUGAUGUGGGAAGUCCUAAAGAUUAUUAGUUAAGCCUCCGCAGGUUUGCCUAUGAAGUCCAUCAAGCGUACUCAAAUCUACACUUCUUUUGCAAUCACCCCACUAUCCUUUCAAAAUACCACCACCACCUCAGUCUGUCUCAGUCUAUCUCUUCCCACCAGUACGCUAUUGUAAUGCCCUCAAUUAUCAUCCUCUUCCUCAGUUUACCAUUUGUGAUUUUAAUUUUUUUUUUUCAGUGGUGCAACAGACAUCCAUUAAAUUAUCUCUGAUUUAGCUCAGCAACAUUACAUAGUUUCACACAAUCCAUUUACCACAUACUGUCAAAUUUGUUGCAGUGAACACAAAAUAUAUUACUUAAUCUUGUGCAAGUAAUAAGAAACUAAUCUUCUUUCCUUACCUCACAGAAAGUGUAUCUCCAGCAACCCAACAGUAACUUGUACUUCCUGUGCACCCGAGUGGAUGCCCUGAGCUACCUGGAGCGAGAGAGGGAAAGGCUUGUCAUCAAGAAGAAAGUAGCAAAAAAACCUUCAUUAUGACCUUCAAACUGAGGCACCUUAAUAUUCUCAUUUCCCACAUGGACUCUCCUGGGAAAUUGUUAUUGCAUCAUGACAGUCCUAGAGCAUGCUGCAGGAGCGGGGAGGGCAGGCACACACCAAUACAGCACAUCUUGGCCUCUGUCGCCAAGACCACCACACACAUCUAAUCUCAAGUGGUGACAUGUCAAAAGUAUUUCAGCUUAAGAUUUUUCUGAAUCCCAUAAUUUUUUACUAAGUUUACAAUUGUUCUGUAUAUCUUUUUAAUUUCAAAAUUAGUGUAUAGACAUAAUUGUAAUUUUUUCUUUGGUACAAAGUUUUCAGUGGUGAUGCAUCACUCAUGUAGGCUGAGCUUGAGUUAGGUAUUAUGUACCUUUGUGAACCUGUGAUGGCUAUGAACACCAGCUGUAUUCAUAUGCCAACAGUGGUGGUGGCUGGUCUCUUAUAUAAGUAAGUCUUGGUGUCUUCUAUCAUACUAGAGGCUCUGUAUUCUCCCUCUGCUUAAGGAUGAUGCUGGGUUGGUGACGCAUGACUCAUCAAUGAGCACUAUUUGCUACUGAUGUAUGGUUCCUAAGGCAGAAAUGGUAUCUAUGAUCAUUAUCACCCUAAUAUGUUUCCCAGCCAGACUGUUUCUAAGCAGCUGACUGGUGCCUGUGAAGCCCUUUCACACUGUUUCUAGGAACAGAUGCUAGACACAACAUUAAACCAAUAAAUGAUGUGAGGCGAGAGGAUAACAUCUAAAGUGUUUGGGACUGGAAAGGAUCAACUGCCACCAUUAUAUUCUGUUCUCUUCUCUGAAAAAAUGUCAUAAAAG